rnacentral:rRNA from 1 species
AUUGAACGCUGGCGGCAGGCUUAACACGUGCAAGUCGAGCGGGGGAAGGUAGCUUGCUACCGGACCUAGCGGCGGACGGGUGAGUAAUGCUUAGGAAUCUGCCUAUUAGUGGGGGACAACAUCUCGAAAGGGAUGCUAAUACCGCAUACGUCCUACGGGAGAAAGCAGGGAUCUUCGGACCUUGCGCUAAUAGAUGAGCCUAAGUCGGAUUAGCUAGUUGGUGGGGUAAAGGCCUACCAAGGCGACGAUCUGUAGCGGGUCUGAGAGGAUGAUCCGCCACACUGGGACUGAGACACGGCCCAGACUCCUACGGGAGGCAGCAGUGGGGAAUAUUGGACAAUGGGGGAAACCCUGAUCCAGCCAUGCCGCGUGUGUGAAGAAGGCCUUAUGGUUGUAAAGCACUUUAAGCGAGGAGGAGGCUACUUUAGUUAAUACCUAGAGAUAGUGGACGUUACUCGCAGAAUAAGCACCGGCUAACUCUGUGCCAGCCGCCGCAGUAA